UUCAUCAUCAUCAUCAUCAGUAGACAGAAAUGUCGACGCUUAUACCUCUCAUGGAAAGAUUUUUCCCAGAGAGCUUGUGAUCCUCGCGCAAGCCCAGCCACAUGCACGAGAUCCUCGCCAAGGCAGCUUGUCCCACCACUUUCACCCGGUAGACCAUGCUCAGAUCUGCAGCUGCUGCCCAUAACUCGUUCCCAGCAGCAACAUUCAUUGACCUCCUUGAGUCAUCAUCAUCAUAGCCUUCUACAUCCGAGUGGGUCACUACGACCACCGACCCGUCAUCAAACACGACCACAUUCCCAGAGCAAACCUGCUUCGUACUUCUCGGGAUCAGAGCUGAAGUUGCAUCGGUUAAGGAGCUCUGAGUGGUAUUCAGCACCCUGACAUUGUAGUACUCAAGAACAG
rnacentral:lncRNA from 1 species